ACAGAAGGGUGCAGUUGUGAAGGUGUUCUCCUCAUACAUGACCUACUACUGAGUUCUUAAGAGAAGAAUGGCACUUAAGAAAUUGAUGGUGAUACCAAAGGAAGGUUACUUAUUACACUUGGACUUUGAUGAUGAGCACGAUGACAUAAAAGUUUCAGAGGAGGCUCUUUUGGAAGGUAUAG
rnacentral:lncRNA from 1 species